GAAAUGCGAUAAGUAAUGUGAAUUGCAGAAUUCAGUGAAUCAUCGAAUCUUUGAACGCACAUUGUGCCCGCCAGUAUUCUGGCGGGCAUGCCUGUCCGAGCGUCAUUUCAACCAUCAAGCCCCCGGGCUUGUGUUGGGGACCUGCGGCUGCCCGCAGGCCCUGAAAACCAGUGGCGGGCUCGCUGUCACACCGAGCGUAGUAGCAAUCACCUCGCUCAGGGCGUGCUGCGGGUUCCGGCCGUUAAACAGCCUUACAAAACCCAAGGUUGACCUCGGAUCAGGUAGGAAGACCCGCUGAACUUAAGC
rnacentral:misc_RNA from 1 species